rnacentral:rRNA from 1 species
GAUGAACGCUGGCGGCGUGCCUAAUACAUGCAAGUCGAACGAAACUUCUUUAUCACCGAGUGCUUGCACUCACCGAUAAAGAGUUGAGUGGCGAACGGGUGAGUAACACGUGGGCAACCUGCCCAAAAGAGGGGGAUAACACUUGGAAACAGGUGCUAAUACCGCAUAACCAUAGUUACCGCAUGGUAACUAUGUAAAAGGUGGCUAUACUACCGCUUUUGGAUGGGCCCGCGGCGCAUUAGCUAGUUGAUAGGGUAAAGGCUUACCAAGGCAAUGAUGCGUAGCCGAAUUGAGAGGUUGAUCGGCCACAUUGGGACUGAGACACGGCCCAAACUCCUACGGGAGGCAGCAGUAGGGAAUCUUCCACAAUGGGCGAAAGCCUGAUGGAGCAACGCCGCGUGGGUGAAGAAGGUCUUCGGAUCGUAAAACCCUGUUGUUAGAGAAGAAAGUGCGUGAGAGUAACUGUUCACGUUUCGACGGCAUCUAACCAGAAAGCCACUGCUAACUACGUG